AAAAAAAUAAUGAAACAUACCAUAAAGUUCCGUCCGGUCGGUCGGGGUCGAUGACUGGUAAACCUUCUCUGCCUGGCAGACGGAGAAUGUCCUCUACGGUGUACUGCGAGUAAGGAGCACUCGGAGGCACCAUCAAAUCGGGAUGAAUCUCGGCCGCGGGCAUCGGAGGUGCCGGCAUCGGAGGAGGCACAGGAGGAGGAGCCAUCUGGGGAGGCACGUGAGGAACCGAUGGUGCACUAG
rnacentral:lncRNA from 1 species